rnacentral:snRNA from 1 species
GUGCUCGCAUCGGCAACACAUAUACUAAAAUUGGAAUGAUACAGAGAAGAUUAGAAUGGCCCCUGCGCAAAGAAUGACAUGCAAAUUCAUGAAGCGUUCCAUAUUUUU